rnacentral:rRNA from 1 species
CAGUAGCCGCGGUAAUACAGAGGGUGCGAGCGUUAAUCGGAUUUACUGGGCGUAAAGCGUGCGUAGGCGGCUUCUUAAGUCGGAUGUGAAAUCCCUGAGCUUAACUUAGGAAUUGCAUUCGAUACUGGGAAGCUAGAGUAUGGGAGAGGAUUGUAGAAUUCCAGGUGUAGCGGUGAAAUGCGUAGAGAUCUGGAGGAAUACCGAUGGCGAAGGCAGCCAUCUGGCCUAAUACUGACGCUGAGGUACGAAAGCAUGGGGAGCAAACAGGAUUAGAGACCCCGGUAGUCCCUGUCUCUUAUAC